ensembl:snRNA U6 U6 spliceosomal RNA
GUGCUUGCUUUGGCAGCACAUAUACUAACACUGGAACAAAACCGAGAUCACCAUGGCCCCUGUGCAAGGAUGACACUCAAAUUCAGGAAGCGUUCCAUAUUUUU